rnacentral:lncRNA from 1 species
AAUCAAGCACCCACCUGGAGAACAAGGGAAUACAGUUCAAGUUUCGGCAAUCGGGCUCCCACCUGGAGAACAAGGGAAUACAGUUCAAGUUUCGGCAAUCGGGCGCCCACUUGGAGAACAAGGAAAUACAGUUCAAGUUUUGGCAAUCAGGCGCACACCUAGAGAACAAGGGAAUACAAUUUCAAGUUUUGGUAGUCAGGCGCCCACCUGCAGAACAAGGGAAUAUAGUUAAAGUUUUGGCAAUCAGGCACCCACCUGAGAACAAGGGAAUACAAUUCAAGUUUGGGCAAUCAGGUGCCUACCUAGAGAACAAAGGCAUACAGUUCAAGUUUUGGCAAUCAGGCGCCCACCUGGAGAACAAGGGCAUACAAUUCAAGUUUGGGCAAUCAAGCACUCACCUAGAGAACAAGGGAAUAUAGUUCAAGAUUUGGUAAUUAGGCACCCAUCUGGAAAAUAAGGGAAUACAGUUCAAGUUUUGGCAAUCAGGCGCCCACCUGGAGAAUAAGGGAAUACAGUUCAAGUUUCGGCAAUCAGGCGCCCACCUAGAGAACAAAGGAAUGCAGUUCAAGUUUUCGCAAUUAGGCGCCCACCUGGAGAAACAGGAAAUACAGUUUAAGUUUUGGCAAUCAGGCG